AACGAACGCUGGCGGCAUGCCUAACACAUGCAAGUCGAACGAGCACAUCGGGUCUAGUGUCCCCCGGGUGCGUAACGCGACGGAACCUGCCCUCAGGUUCGGCAUAACUCUCCGACAGGGGUGCUAAUACCGGAUCAUGUCUUCGAACCAAAGAUUUAUUGCCAUUGGUUGGGCCCGCGUUGGAUUAGCUAUUUGAUAGGGUAAUAGCCUACCACGGCGACGAUCCAUAGCUGGUCUGAGAGGAUGAUCAGCCACACUGGGACUGAGACACGACCCAGACUUCUACGGGAGGCAGCAGUGGGGAAUAUCGGACAAUGGGCGAAAGCCUGGUCCAGCGAUGCCGCGAGAGCGAUGAAGGCCUUAGAGUUAUAAAGCUCUUUUACCCGCGAUGAUAAUGACAGUACCGGGAGAAUAAGCUCCGGCAGACUGCG
rnacentral:rRNA from 1 species